UCAUCAUUACAUAGAUCCGAACUCUCGGCUUUAUAAGAACCAGAAACCAUAUUCAGUCGUUUCACGAUCGCGAUGGCUCCCAAGGUUUCACUUUAUUUACAGACCCUGAUCUUCGUCUUAGUUACGACUCUGCCCUCCUCCCCGGAUGCCACUUCUCCUCCGUGUCCCAAAGCCAUAUCGGAUUUGAAGGAGGUGAUUGUGAAGGGUUUGGGGUUCCAGGCGGAUGAUUUUAAGAUUUCGGGAUUUGAUAUUAGAGAUGCGUUGGUGGGCAGGUCGGUGGCGUAUGAAUUCGAUGUUGAAAUUGAUAACCUGGUGAUGCCGUUUAAGUUGUUGGAGGAUGUUAAUCGAUGGGAGUAUAUGGAUUUUCCGAUUUUCAGAGUUGAGGAAGGAGGACCGGUUAGGCCUGGUGAUGAGAAUGGGUUAGUGAAGCAGAGUGGAAAGACGGAUAAUGGGUUGCCUGUUCUGGCUCCGUUUCAGCUUGCUGGACCCAUGGAGAUAUGGAUUCAGGAUGCUCAGGAUAUGCGCAUCUCGUUGCCGCAUGAUGUGGAUGCUGGUGUACUGAAGAAAGUAAUAUUGGCAGAUGGUGUGGUGGUUAAAGUCAAGGGUGCUAGAUCAGUUAGCCUAGGCCACCCAGUUGAUCUCUCGUUGCCCCUCAACCGGAGUCAAAAUGGUUUUGCCUCUGGUCUUCUGGCCCUUGCUGAACACCUUCGUCGUGCUUCUCAUACCCAAGGAGCUCCACUCCUAUCUCUUCGCAUUGUUGGCCCUACCUCCCUUACAUCACCAUCAUCACCGUCUUCUUCCAAUAACAGACUCAAGCUAAAACGCCUUGCCCCAGGCCUUGUGGAGUUAUCAUCAUUUGCUCCCCUCUUGAUUUGGAGGAAGCCGCAACUCUCCUAACUCCUAAACAUUUCGCUACAAUGUGGCCUCUUGCUUCUGUAAAUGGCUCAAAUGCGAAUUUGCUGGGUUUUGAGAAAUUGCUGGCUUCUGUGUUGGGUCCCAAGGCAAAUAAGAAAGGUUCCUUCAGGUUAUUAAAGGCAGAUGUGUCAGCUCAGACAUUUGUGAAGAUAGGAUUUGAGGUUGAAAAGAAUUUGAAAGAAGGGGACGGAUUUGAUUGGCAGGGCUUUCCUGAGUGGAGGACAAAGCCUGAGUCAGUGAGGAUGCAUUUUGAGGUUCUGGCUAAGGUUGAUGGUGAGAAGGUUGUGCCAGAGAGGGUGGUGCAGGUUAACCCUGUUGUUGUGGAAGAUACUGUGGCAUCGAACGUGCUUGUGGGGAAUGUAACCAUGUCUAGGGUACCUGUUGUUCACAUACCCUUUAACCCGAUGACCUUGUAAAUGGUUGGAGGGAAGUUAAUUUUUUGCCAUAGUUAUCAAAGAGUGUAAAUCCUUUUGGCUUUUCCCUAACACGUAUACGAUGAUUUAGAGUGAAAAGAUGUAAAUUGUAAAGCAAUUGUGCUGAGAAAUCAUAAAGGCUAUGAAUAUUUUAAUUUCA